rnacentral:rRNA from 1 species
UAGAAAACUACCCUGAACAAGCCCGAUCCCAUCUGAUCUCGGAAUCUAAGAACGGUCGGGCCUGGUUAGUACUUGGAUGGGAGACCACCUAGGAAGACCAGGUGCUAU